ACACACUAUUAAAGCCUUUGAAAUAGUGUCCCAGGAGAAGGGGGGAGGAGGGAGAAUAUUCUGUGGGAAAUGUCAUCCCUUGAGUAUUUCAUCUUCAGCUGUGUUUGUGCACCUACUCUGAGCAGAGCAUGGGUCAGAACAGAACGGUGGACAGAUAUUCCGGGGUCCGGUCAGCCACCGACUUCCUGUGUGAUGCCGGAAGGGUCAGAGCAACGCGUACCAGAUUUCCAGGUCCCUUUUGUAGACGGUGAGAUGGAAAAAACAGAGUAGAAGACAAAGACAUUUGACGAAGUCUGGCUGGUGAGAGAUGAAAUAACUGAGGCACCAAGAAGUUAAGUGACUUGCCCAAUGGAGGGACCCCCUCGGAGAGAAUCUUCCAGCUCAAUCGAGGCCAGGAGACUCCCGCAGUUGUCCACACGGCUACAACCGCGUCGUUUCGGAAAUCUCCAGCCCAUUCCCUCGUCCCUACAUUCUUGUCAGGCACACAGCCACAAUGUGAAUAAAGAUUUUUAAACACGGA